GGAUCCAGACUUUGAUCCUGGCUCAGGAUAAACGCUGGCGGCGCACAUAAGACAUGCAAGUCGAACGGAAGUCGUUAUAAAAAGGAUUGAAGAUUUAUCUGAUUGAGAUUUUAUAACAAUGGCUUUAGUGGCGGACUGGUGAGUAACGCGUGAGCAACCUGCCUACUAGAGGGGAAUAACAGUGAGAAAUCAUUGCUAAUACCGCAUAUGCCAUGAACAUCACAUGAUGAAAAUGGGAAAAGAGUAAUCUGCUAGUAGAUGGGCUCGCGUCUGAUUAGAUAGUUGGUGGGGCAACGGCCUACCAAGUCGACGAUCAGUAGCCGGACUGAGAGGUUGAACGGCCACAUUGGGACUGAGAUACGGCCCAGACUCCUACGGGAGGCAGCAGUCGGGAAUAUUGCGCAAUGGAGGAAACUCUGACGCAGUGACGCCGCGUAUAGGAAGAAGGUUUUCGGAUUGUAAACUAUUGUCGUUAGGGAAGAUAAAAGACAGUACCUAAGGAGGAAGCUCCGGCUAACUACGUGCCAGCAGCCGCGGUAAUACGUAGGGAGCAAGCGUUAUCCGGAUUUAUUGGGUGUAAAGGGUGCGUAGACGGGACAACAAGUUAGUUGUGAAAUCCCUCGGCUUAACUGAGGAACUGCAACUAAAACUAUUGUUCUUGAGUGUUGGAGAGGAAAGUGGAAUUCCUAGUGUAGCGGUGAAAUGCGUAGAUAUUAGGAGGAACACCGGUGGCGAAGGCGACUUUCUGGACAAUAACUGACGUUGAGGCACGAAAGUGUGGGGAGCAAACAGGAUUAGAUACCCUGGUAGUCCACACCGUAAACGAUGGAUACUAGGUGUAGGAAAUGAUUUUAUUUUCUGUGUCGUCGCAAACGCAAUAAGUAUCCCACCUGGGGAGUACGGCCGCAAGGUUGCAACUCAAAGGAAUUGACGG
rnacentral:rRNA from 1 species